rnacentral:misc_RNA from 1 species
UCUCCGUUGGUGAACCAGCGGAGGGAUCAUUACAGGACUCGCAAGACUCCUACAACCCUGUGAACUUAACUAUAGGCACGUUGCUUCGGCGGGUGUCUCGGAGGGGGUUCUCCCUCCCCGAGACGCUAAACCCGCCGGCAGCCUACUAUACUCUGUCUCUUUGCGUUGGCAUCUCGAGUACAAUCAAACAAGUUAAAACUUUCAACAACGGAUCUCUUGGUUCUGGCAUCGAUGAGAACGCAGC